rnacentral:lncRNA from 1 species
CUUGCUGCAGGGCAUCUCUUAAGCACAGUUUAAUCACAUUGCUGGGAACUGCAAUUAUUUUGCAUCUCCCGGAGGCUCCUGAGAGACAACUGUAAAUAAUGGCUUAUUCUCUUCACCAAACAAGAAGGCAAUUGACUCACACAAUUGCCUGAAGACUGGGCCUGGGAACUCCAGUUUCAUUCCACAGGGAUGCACUUAAAGGGCUGGCGUAGAGAAUGAAAAACUCCCCAAUGGAGUGCCUUCCUGCCUUCUCUAACUACAAAGUUCUUUAAGAAGCCAAGGGAGGCGUUACCUUCUUGUAUGCAGUCAGACUUCCACAGGUGCCAGCGCCAAGGGGAAGGCAGGGCAAAGGCUGAACACUGGCUAUGGCAGUGCCCACCCCUUCAUGGAGUCCACAUCUGACAAGCAGUGCAGGUGGAGCUAUGUGACAUGUCCCUUGGAGCCGAAAGGCAGAAACAACCCAACUGGCCAUCAAGAGAUGACUGGAUAAACAAAAAGUCUAUCUAUCCAUACAAUGGAAUGUUACCCAUAAAAAGGAAUGAAGUACUGAUCCAUGCUACAAGAUGGAUGAACCUUGGAAACAUUUUGCUAAGUAAAAGAAGUCAGUCAUGACCACGUGUGGUGGCUCACACCUGUAAUUUCAACACUUUUGGACGCUGAGGAGUUUUGCUCCGGCUCACUGCAAUCUUGGCUCACUGCAACCUCCGCCUCCUGGGUUCAAGCGAU